rnacentral:rRNA from 1 species
AGCAGCCGCGGUAAUUCCAGCUCCAAUAGCGUAUAUUAAAGUUGUUGCAGUUAAAAAGCUCGUAGUUGAAUUUCGGGAUUAGUACGCUGGUCAUGCCUUUGGUAUGUACUGGUGUUACUGAUUUCUACCUUCUGAAGAACCGUUAUGUCAUUCAUUUGGUGUGGCGGGGAAUCAGGACUGUUACUUUGAAAAAUUAGAGUGUUUAAAGCAGGCUCGCGCUUGAAUACAUUAGCAUGGAAUAAUGAAAUAGGACGUUGAUCCUAUUUUGUUGGUUUCUAGGAUUGACGUAAUGAUUAAUAGGGAUAGUUGGGGGCAUUAGUAUUCAAUUGUCAGAGGUGAAAUUCUUGGAUUUAUUGAAGACUAACUACUGCGAAAGCAUUUGCCAAGGAUGUUUUCAUUAAUCAAGAACGAAAGUUAGGGGAUCGAAGACGAUCAGAUACCGUCGUAGUCUUAACCAUAAACUAAUGCCGACUAGGGAUCGGAUG